rnacentral:rRNA from 1 species
GGUUAAGCGACUAAGCGUACACGGUGGAUGCCCUGGCAGUCAGAGGCGAUGAAGGACGUGCUAAUCUGCGAAAAGCGUCGGUAAGGUGAUAUGAACCGUUAUAACCGGCGAUGUCCGAAUGGGGAAACCCAGUGCAAUUCGUUGCACUAUCGUUAACUGAAUACAUAGGUUAACGAGGCGAACCGGGGGAACUGAAACAUCUAAGUACCCCGAGGAAAAGAAAUCAACCGAGAUUCCCCCAGUAGCGGCGAGCGAACGGGGAGCAGCCCAGAGUCUGAAUCAGCUUGUGUGUUAGUGGAACGGUCUGGAAAGUCCGACGGUACAGGGUGAUAGUCCCGUACACCAAAAUGCACAGGCUGUGAACUCGAAGAGUAGGGCGGGACACGUGGUAUCCUGUCUGAAUAUGGGGGACCAUCCUCCAAGGCUAAAUACUCCUGACUGACCGAUAGUGAACCAGUACCGUGAGGGAAAGGCGAAAAGAACCCCGGCGAGGGGAGUGAAAAAGAACCUGAAACCGUGUACGUACAAGCAGUGGGAGCACCUUCGGGUGUGACUGCGUACCUUUGUAUAAUGGGUCAGCGACUUAUAUUCUGUAGCAAGGUUAACCGUAUAGGGGAGCCGCAGGGAAACCGAGUCUUAACUGGGCGUUAAGUUGCAGGGUAUAGACCCGAAACCCGGUGAUCUAGCCAUGGGCAGGUUGAAGGUUGGGUAACACUAACUGGAGGACCGAACCGACUAAUGUUGAAAAAUUAGCGGAUGACUUGUGGCUGGGGGUGAAAGGCCAAUCAAACCGGGAGAUAGCUGGUUCUCCCCGAAAGCUAUUUAGGUAGCGCCUCGUGAAUUCAUCUUCGGGGGUAGAGCACUGUUUCGGCUAGGGGGUCAUCCCGACUUACCAACCCGAUGCAAACUACGAAUACCGAAGAAUGUUAUCACGGGAGACACACGGCGGGUGCUAACGUCCGUCGUGAAGAGGGAAACAACCCAGACCGCCAGCUAAGGUCCCAAAGUCAUGGUUAAGUGGGAAACGAUGUGGGAAGGCACAGACAGCCAGGAUGUUGGCUUAGAAGCAGCCAUCAUUUAAAGAAAGCGUAAUAGCUCACUGGUCGAGUCGGCCUGCGCGGAAGAUGUAACGGGGCUAAACCAUGCACCGAAGCUGCGGCAGCGACACUAUGUGUUGUUGGGUAGGGGAGCGUUCUGUAAGCCUGCGAAGGUGUGCUGUGAGGCAUGCUGGAGGUAUCAGAAGUGCGAAUGCUGACAUAAGUAACGAUAAAGCGGGUGAAAAGCCCGCUCGCCGGAAGACCAAGGGUUCCUGUCCAACGUUAAUCGGGGCAGGGUGAGUCGGCCCCUAAGGCGAGGCCGAAAGGCGUAGUCGAUGGGAAACAGGUUAAUAUUCCUGUACUUGGUGUUACUGCGAAGGGGGGACGGAGAAGGCUAUGUUAGCCGGGCGACGGUUGUCCCGGUUUAAGCAUGUAGGCUGGUUGUCCAGGCAAAUCCGGAUAAUCAAGGCUGAGGUGUGAUGACGAGGCACUACGGUGCUGAAGUAACAAAUGCCCUGCUUCCGGAAAAGCCUCUAAGCAUCAGGUAACAUCAAAUCGUACCCCAAACCGACACAGGUGGUCAGGUAGAGAAUACCAAGGCGCUUGAGAGAACUCGGGUGAAGGAACUAGGCAAAAUGGUGCCGUAACUUCGGGAGAAGGCACGCUGGUGUGUAGGUGAAGUCCCUGCGGAUGGAGCUGAGACCAGUCGAAGAUACCAGCUGGCUGCAACUGUUUAUUAAAAACACAGCACUGUGCAAACACGAAAGUGGACGUAUACGGUGUGACGCCUGCCCGGUGCCGGAAGGUUAAUUGAUGGGGUUAUCCGUAAGGAGAAGCUCUUGAUCGAAGCCCCGGUAAACGGCGGCCGUAACUAUAACGGUCCUAAGGUAGCGAAAUUCCUUGUCGGGUAAGUUCCGACCUGCACGAAUGGCGUAAUGAUGGCCAGGCUGUCUCCACCCGAGACUCAGUGAAAUUGAACUCGCUGUGAAGAUGCAGUGUACCCGCGGCAAGACGGAAAGACCCCGUGAACCUUUACUAUAGCUUGACACUGAACAUUGAGCCUUGAUGUGUAGGAUAGGUGGGAGGCUUUGAAGCGUGGACGCCAGUCUGCGUGGAGCCAACCUUGAAAUACCACCCUUUAAUGUUUGAUGUUCUAACGUUGGCCCCUUACCGGGGUUGCGGACAGUGUCUGGUGGGUAGUUUGACUGGGGCGGUCUCCUCCCAAAGCGUAACGGAGGAGCACGAAGGUUAGCUAAUCCUGGUCGGACAUCAGGAGGUUAGUGCAAUGGCAUAAGCUAGCUUGACUGCGAGCGUGACGGCGCGAGCAGGUGCGAAAGCAGGUCAUAGUGAUCCGGUGGUUCUGAAUGGAAGGGCCAUCGCUCAACGGAUAAAAGGUACUCCGGGGAUAACAGGCUGAUACCGCCCAAGAGUUCAUAUCGACGGCGGUGUUUGGCACCUCGAUGUCGGCUCAUCACAUCCUGGGGCUGAAGUAGGUCCCAAGGGUAUGGCUGUUCGCCAUUUAAAGUGGUACGCGAGCUGGGUUUAGAACGUCGUGAGACAGUUCGGUCCCUAUCUGCCGUGGGCGCUGGAGAAUUGAGGGGGCUGCUCCUAGUACGAGAGGACCGGAGUGGACGCAUCACUGGUGUUCGGGUUGUCAUGCCAAUGGCACUGCCCGGUAGCUAAAUGCGGAAGAGAUAAGUGCUGAAAGCAUCUAAGCACGAAACUUGCCCCGAGAUGAGUUCUCCCUGAGACUUUAAGUCUCCUGAAGGAACGUUGAAGACGACGACGUUGAUAGGCCGGGUGUGUAAGCGCAGCGAUGCGUUGAGCUAACCGGUACUAAUGAACCGUGAGGCUUAACCUU